UACGGAGGGUGCGAGCGUUGUCCGGAAUCACUGGGCGUAAAGGGCGCGUAGGUGGCGCGACAAGUCAACGGUGAAAGCUCGGCGCUCAACGCCGAGUCGGCCGUCGAUACUGUUGGGCUUGAGCACUGUAGAGGCUAAUGGAAUUCCGGGUGUAGCGGUGGAAUGCGUAGAGAUCCGGGAAGAACACCGGUGGCGAAGGCGGGGUCUCUGGGCAGUAACUGACGCUGAGGAGCGAAAGCGUGGGGAGCGAACAGG
rnacentral:rRNA from 1 species